GGUCAAGCGAAUAAGCGCACACGGUGGAUGCCUUGGCGGUCAGAGGCGAUGAAGGACGUGGCAGCCUGCGAAAAGUAUCGGGGAGCUGGCAACAAGCUUUGAUCCGGUAAUGUCCGAAUGGGGAAACCCACCCGCUUGCGGGUAUCCUGCAGUGAAUACAUAGCUGCUGGAAGCGAACCUGGUGAACUGAAAUAUCUAAGUAACCAGAGGAAAAGAAAUCAACCGAGAUUCCGUAAGUAGCGACGAGCGAACGCGGACUAGCCCUUAAGCUGAUUUGGUUCUAGGAAAACGCUCUGGAAAGAGUGGCCAUAGAAGGUGAUAGCCCUGUAUCUGAAAGGGCCAUUUCAGUGAAGACGAGUAGGGCGGGGCACGUGAAACCCUGUCUGAACAUGGGGGGACCAUCCUCCAAGGCUAAAUACUACUGACCGACCGAUAGUGAACCAGUACCGUGAGGGAAAGGCGAAAAGAACCCCGGAGAGGGGAGUGAAAUAGAACCUGAAACCGUGUGCGUACAAGCAGUAGGAGCUCCGCAAGGAGUGACUGCGUACCUUUUGUAUAAUGGGUCAGCGACUUACUGUUCGUGGCAAGCUUAACCGUAUAGGGGAGGCGAAGGGAAACCGAGUCUGAUAAGGGCGCAUAGUCGCGGGCAGUAGACCCGAAACCGGGUGAUCUAGUCAUGCCCAGGGUGAAGGUGCGGUAACACGCACUGGAGGCCCGAACCCACUCCCGUUGCAAAGGUAGGGGAUGAGGUGUGAUUAGGAGUGAAAAGCUAAUCGAACCCGGAGAUAGCUGGUUCUCCUCGAAAGCUAUUUAGGUAGCGCCUCAUAUGUAUCCUCUCGGGGGUAGAGCACUGUUAUGGCUAGGGGGUCAUCGCGACUUACCAAACCAUUGCAAACUCCGAAUACCGAGACGGACUGUAUGGGAGACACACGGCGGGUGCUAACGUCCGUCGUGAAAAGGGAAACAACCCAGACCCACAGCUAAGGUCCCAAAUUCACUGCUAAGUGGAAAACCAUGUGGAAAGGCACAGACAGCCAGGAGGUUGGCUUAGAAGCAGCCACCCUUUAAAGAAAGCGUAAUAGCUCACUGGUCGAGUCGGUCUGCGGGGAAGAUUUAACGGGGCUAAGCAGUGAACCGAAGCUUGGGGUGCAUAACUUUGUUAUGCGCGGUAGAGGAGCGUUCCGUAAGCCGUUGAAGGUGGAUUGAGAAGUCUGCUGGAGGUAUCGGAAGUGCGAAUGCUGACAUGAGUAACGAUAAUGCGGGUGAAAAACCCGCACGCCGAAAGCCCAAGGUUUCCUUGCGCAACGUUAAUCGGCGCAGGGUGAGUCGGCCCCUAAGGCGAGGACGAAAGUCGUAGUCGAUGGGAAGCAGGUUAAUAUUCCUGCACCUCGCGUAAGUGCGAUGGAGGGACGGAGAAGGUUAGGUGUACCAGGCGUUGGUUGUCCUGGGGAAAGGCGGUAGGUUUGGAUCUUUGGCAAAUCCGGGAUCCUUUAAGACCGAGCACCGAGACGAGCCUUUAUGGCGAAGUCACUGAUACCACGCUUCCAGGAAAAGCUCCUAAGCUUCAGCUUACGCAGACCGUACCGUAAACCGACACAGGUGGGUAGGAUGAGAAUUCUCAGGCGCUUGAGAGAACUCGGGUGAAGGAACUAGGCAACAUGGCACCGUAACUUCGGGAGAAGGUGCACCCUUUUUGGUGGCUCGUGCGAGCUAUAGCUGAAGAGGGUCGCAGUAACCAGGCCGCUGCGACUGUUUAUCAAAAACACAGCACUCUGCAAACACGAAAGUGGACGUAUAGGGUGUGACGCCUGCCCGGUGCUGGAAGGUUAAUUGAUGGGGUCAGCCGCAAGGCGAAGCUCUUGAUCGAAGCCCCAGUAAACGGCGGCCGUAACUAUAACGGUCCUAAGGUAGCGAAAUUCCUUGUCGGGUAAGUUCCGACCUGCACGAAUGGCGUAACGACAGCGGCGCUGUCUCCACCCGAGACUCAGUGAAAUUGAAAUCGCUGUGAAGAUGCAGCGUUCCCGUGGCAAGACGGAAAGACCCCGUGAACCUUUACUAUAGCUUUACACUGAACGUUGAGUUCGUCUGUGUAGGAUAGGUGGGAGGCUAUGAAACUGUGGCGCUAGCUGCAGCGGAGCCAUCCUUGAAAUACCACCCUGUCGUGCUUGACGUUCUAACCUGGGCCCAUUAUCUGGGUCGGGGACCGUGUAUGGUGGGUAGUUUGACUGGGGCGGUCUCCUCCUAAAGAGUAACGGAGGAGCUCGAAGGUACGCUCAGCGCGGUCGGACAUCGCGCACUGUGUGCAAAGGCAUAAGCGUGCUUGACUGCAAGAUCGACGGAUCAAGCAGGUAGGAAACUAGGACUUAGUGAUCCGGUGGUUCUGUAUGGAAGGGCCAUCGCUCAACGGAUAAAAGGUACUCCGGGGAUAACAGGCUGAUACCGCCCAAGAGUUCAUAUCGACGGCGGUGUUUGGCACCUCGAUGUCGGCUCAUCACAUCCUGGGGCUGUAGUCGGUCCCAAGGGUAUGGCUGUUCGCCAUUUAAAGUGGUACGCGAGCUGGGUUCAGAACGUCGUGAGACAGUUCGGUCCCUAUCUGCCAUGGGCGUUGGAGAUUUGAGAGGGGCUGCUCCUAGUACGAGAGGACCGGAGUGGACGAACCUCUGGUGUUCCGGUUGUCACGCCAGUGGCAUUGCCGGGUAGCUAUGUUCGGAAGCGAUAACCGCUGAAAGCAUCUAAGCGGGAAGCGCGCCUCAAGAUGAGAUCUCCCGGGGCACAAGCCCCCUGAAGGAACCAUGUAGACUACGUGGUUGAUAGGUCAGGUGUGUAAGUACAGCAAUGUAUUGAGCUAACUGAUACUAAUGAUCCGAGAGGCUUGACCAU
rnacentral:rRNA from 1 species